rnacentral:rRNA from 1 species
UGGGGAAUAUUGCACAAUGGGCGCAAGCCUGAUGCAGCCAUGCCGCGUGUGUGAAGAAGGCCUUCGGGUUGUAAAGCACUUUCAGCGGGGAGGAAGGCGGUGAGGUUAAUAACCUCAUCGAUUGACGUUACCCGCAGAAGAAGCACCGGCUAACUCCGUGCCAGCAGCCGCGGUAAUACGGAGGGUGCAAGCGUUAAUCGGAAUUACUGGGCGUAAAGCGCACGCAGGCGGUCUGUCAAGUCGGAUGUGAAAUCCCCGGGCUCAACCUGGGAACUGCAUUCGAAACUGGCAGGCUAGAGUCUUGUAGAGGGGGGUAGAAUUCCAGGUGUAGCGGUGAAAUGCGUAGAGAUCUGGAGGAAUACCGGUGGCGAAGGCGGCCCCCUGGAAAAAGACUGACGCUCAGGUGCGAAAGCGUGGGGAGCAAACAGG